GACAGAGGGUGCAAACGUUGUUCGGAAUUACUGGGCGUAAAGCGCGUGUAGGCGGCUUUGCAAGUCGGAUGUGAAAUCCCACGGCUCAACCGUGGAAGUGCAUUCGAAACUGCAAGGCUAGAGUUCUGGAGAGGAAGGUGGAAUGCUUGGUGUAGAGGUGAAAUUCGUAGAUAUGCGGAGGAACACCGAUGGCGAAGGCAAUCCCCUGGGCCUGCACUGACGCUCAUGCACGAAAGCGUGGGGAGCAAACAGG
rnacentral:rRNA from 1 species